rnacentral:rRNA from 1 species
UGCAGUCGAGCGGUAGAGAGAAGCUUGCUUCUCUUGAGAGCGGCGGACGGGUGAGUAAUACCUAGGAAUCUGCCUGAUAGUGGGGGAUAACGUUCGGAAACGGACGCUAAUACCGCAUACGUCCUACGGGAGAAAGCAGGGGACCUUCGGGCCUUGCGCUAUCAGAUGAGCCUAGGUCGGAUUAGCUAGUUGGUGAGGUAAUGGCUCACCAAGGCUACGAUCCGUAACUGGUCUGAGAGGAUGAUCAGUCACACUGGAACUGAGACACGGUCCAGACUCCUACGGGAGGCAGCAGUGGGGAAUAUUGGACAAUGGGCGAAAGCCUGAUCCAGCCAUGCCGCGUGUGUGAAGAAGGUCUUCGGAUUGUAAAGCACUUUAAGUUGGGAGGAAGGGCAUUAACCUAAUACGUUGGUGUCUUGACGUUACCGACAGAAUAAGCACCGGCUAACUCUGUGCCAGCAGCCGCGGUAAUACAGAGGGUGCAAGCGUUAAUCGGAAUUACUGGGCGUAAAGCGCGCGUAGGUGGUUUGUUAAGUUGAAUGUGAAAUCCCCGGGCUCAACCUGGGAACUGCAUCCAAAACUGGCAGGCUAGAGUAUGGUAGAGGGUAGUGGAAUUUCCUGUGUAGCGGUGAAAUGCGUAGAUAUAGGAAGGAACACCAGUGGCGAAGGCGACCACCUGGACUGAUACUGACACUGAGGUGCGAAAGCGUGGGGAGCAAACAGGAUUAGAUACCCUGGUAGUCCACGCCGUAAACGAUGUCAACUAGCCGUUGGGAGUCUUGAACUCUUAGUGGCGCAGCUAACGCAUUAAGUUGACCGCCUGGGGAGUACGGCCGCAAGGUUAAAACUCAAAUGAAUUGACGGGGGCCCGCACAAGCGGUGGAGCAAGUGGUUUAAUUCAAA